rnacentral:rRNA from 1 species
CGGGGUGCAGCAGGCGCGAAAACUUUGCAAUAGGCGAAAGCCUGACAGGGCUAUCCCGAGUGCCAUCCGCUGAGGAAGGCUUUUACCCAGUCUAGAACGCUGGGGGAAUAAGGAGAGGGCAAGUCUGGUGUCAGCCGCCGCGGUAAUACCAGCUCUCCGAGUGGUGUGGAUGUUUAUUGGGCCUAAAGCAUCCGUAGCUGGCUAAGUUAGUCCCUUGUUAAAUCCACCGAAUUAAUCGUUGGAUCGCGGGGGAUACUGCUUGGCUAGGGGACGAGAGAGGCAGACGGUAUUUUCGGGGUAGGGGUGAAAUCCUAUAAUCCCGGGAAGACCACCAGUGGCGAAGGCUGUCUGCUAGAACGCGCCCGACGGUGAGGGAUGAAAGCUGGGGGAGCGAACCGGAUUAGAUACCCGGGUAGUCCCAGCUGUAAACGAUGCAGACUAGGUGUUUGAACGGCCACGUGCCGUUCUAGUGCCGCAGGGAAGCUGUUAAGUCUGCCGCCUGGGGAGUACGAUCGCAAGAUUGAAACUUAAAGGAAUUGGCGGGGGAGCAC